rnacentral:rRNA from 1 species
GUGCAGCAGGCGCGAAUACUCCGCAAUGCGGGCAACCGCGACGGGGCUACCCCGAGUGCCGGGCGAAGAGCCCGGCUUUUGCCCGGUCUAAAACGCCGGGCGAAUAAGCGGGGGGCAAGUCUGGUGUCAGCCGCCGCGGUAAUACCAGCUCCGCGAGUGGUCGGGGUGUUUACUGGGCUUAAAGCGCCCGUAGCCGGCCCGGCAAGUCGCUCCUGAAAUCCCCGGGCUCAACCCGGGGGCGGGGGGCGAUACUGCCGGGCUAGGGGGCGGGAGAGGCCGCCGGUACUCCGGGGGUAGGGGCGAAAUCCGUUAAUCCCCGGAGGACCACCAGUGGCGAAAGCGGGCGGCCAGAACGCGCCCGACGGUGAGGGGCGAAAGCCGGGGGAGCGAACCGGAUUAGAUACCCGGGUAGUCCCGGCUGUAAACGAUGCGGGCUAGGUGUUGGGUGGGCUUAGAGCCCACCCAGUGCCGCAGGGAAGCCGUUAAGCCCGCCGCCUGGGGAGUACGGCCGCAAGGCUGAAACUCAAAGGAAUUGGCGGGGGAGCAC